GUCAUUUAAGCAUCACAUAAUUAAUUGUGUACAUCCUGUGCCACAUGCAAUUGCCACAGCUUUGAAGUCCCAAUAGAUCAUUUUAUAGAGCAGUGGGUGCCAUUUUAAAGAAAAAGAAAGAAAAAGAAAAGCAAAGGCCUGGCGCCAGGACACGGCUGUGUGGAUUUGAACAUAUCCUUCUCCAGAGCUGCUCGAGUCAGAGUCAAACCUUUUUGGAGGAGGGGAAAUCUUGGAUUGAGAGCGUGACUGAUACAGGCACCCAUCCUUGUCUCUGCUCCAGAUUACAGGAAUCUCUGAAGAGGCGAGUGCUGGGUGCCUCUAGUCAACCAUGUUGAUGACGUCCUUUCUAGAAAACACCCUGAUACCUUGUGCCUGUGCUUCCAAGGUGGCUGACGCUGUGCCUGUGCUUCCGAGGUGGCUGACUUCUAACUGAGUGCAGUGGAGACCCCGUGGUGCUUUACAGAACAGAUGGCAGUGCUGCCCAAGCUCAGAACACAGCUGGACGGAUCCCCAUUUUUAAAAUGUUGCUUUUAAAGUUCCUUGGUCUAUUUUAAGUCUUAGACAAUAGAGCACUAAUUUGUGUCCACAGCUAGGGAAAAAGCACCCCAAAUACUCAUGUUAUGUCACUUUCAGUACCACAAUUCAAAUAGUGAAAGACGAUGCUUCCAUGUACCACGUAUAGGUCUCUACUAGUGAUUUUUCUCUCAUUUCAACCUAGCUUCACAUAUUUUUAUGGUAUAGCUAACUCAACAUUGAUUCUAUACAAAAUAUAUUAUCUAAGAUAGUCUUUAAAAAUAUUUGAAUUCCACUGGGAUUUGUUUAAACCCCUACACAAAUAAUUACCUCUUACUAAAAACACUGAGUUUGGCAAGUGAAAUUUUGUAAUAAGGUGAAGAUUCAAUAAAAUCUUGUCUCAAACUAAUG
rnacentral:lncRNA from 10 species